rnacentral:lncRNA from 1 species
AGCCUCCCAAGUAGCUGGGACUACAGGCGCCUGCCACCACGCCUGGCCACUUCUGUCUUUUAAAGAUCUAGAUACCUGGUUUUCCUCACAACAAAUUCUGCUUAUAUAGUCACAUGGCCACAUCUAAUCGCAAAGGAAACUAGGAAAUGUCUUAUACCUGUAAGGCAAGGUACCCAGCUAAAAAAAAGGAGAUUGUGUUACUAAAGAAGAGGAUAGUAGGCCCACUGCAGUGGCUCAUGCCUGUAAUCCCAACACUUUAGGAGGUCGAGGUGUUCGAUCACAAGGUCAGGAGUUCGAGACCAGCCUC